UGCAUGUGUGUGUGUGUGUGUGUGUGUGUGUACAUAAGAUUAUCCAAUAGAAAUAUAUGUGUGUAUAUAUGUAUACACACACACACACACACACAUAAAUGCACU
rnacentral:miRNA from 1 species